rnacentral:rRNA from 1 species
GAUGAAUGCUGGCGGCGUGCCUAAUACAUGCAAGUCGAGCGGUAAGGCCCUUCGUGGUACACGAGCGGCGGACGGCUGAGUAACGCGUGGGAACAUGCCCCAAAGUGAGGGAUAACGCACCGAAAGGUGUGCUAAUACCGCAUAUGGUCUUCGGAUUAAAGGAUUUAUCCGCUUUGGGAGUGGCCCGCGUACGAUUAGAUUGUUGGUGAGGUAACGGCUCACCAAGUCGACGAUCGUUAACUGGUCUGAGAGGAUGAUCAGUCAGACUGGAACUGAGACACGGUCCAG